rnacentral:misc_RNA from 1 species
UUUUCAGAAAUGGAUGAUUUGAUAUCAGAAAUAACUGAAUGAAUUUAAGCGAAGUAUUAUAUAAAUUACGUAUUCGAUGAUUAUUAAACUUGGAAUAUUGAUUUCAUGAAUGAAGAUAAAGGCAUGGGUUCUUCUAAAACGAUUACCUCAUCAGUAUGCAUUCAUCAAAUAAACAGCAUUUACGAAAUAAGGAAACCUGAAAAUAUCUCAGUAUGGAUUAUGCAUGUUGUACAACAUCAUAUGAGCGCUCUAAGGAUAUAUUAGAAUGACAGUGACAUAGCUUUACCAAAGAGUACCGAGAAGAUGGAUUUUGAAACGGAAAAGUGCCGUCAAGGAUUUGUUUUGUAUGCUUAACUACAUAAAUAUGUACCCACCUAUAUAGAAGAAGUUUCUAGCAGGAUUCGAUCCGGUGCUGGGGAUACUGAAAGCCAAGCAGACGGAAGUAAGCUUUCUUCCAAACUUCAAAAAGAACUGUGAGUGAAGAAGCCGCGACUUCAACCAGAACCCGCAUCUCUUCCAACUUGAAUGGCUUUUCGCCCCUUGUCUGCUAUUGGUUGAAAUCCGCAGUGGGCGGAGUAAAAUUCCACGUGCUGUCAACCACGACUUGCAGCAGCCACCACAAAACCAGUCAGUCAUGCAAACUGAUUCGAGUCACAGCGAGCUUUGGCUUUUGCCAUCCACUAACCCAUGUGUGAUGCAAGUGUUCUAGUCCGGCCGUUGCAUUCCUCCGGCCUUCAUUUAAUUCCUGGAUACGUGAUGGAAUAUUAGAAAGCGUGACAGUGCCUUUGAAGAUUUCAAACCGUGUUCUUCCCAUUUUGUUUGACAGCUGAAAGACAUGCGUAGAAAUCCGAUGUCACCGCGAACCAUAUCGGUUCUUCUUUUCAUCUUCUAUUCUAUGUGCAUUAACGCUUUUAGUGAGAACGAUAGGGAAUAUGAUUAUUGCGUAAAUAAAGCAAUUCCUGGCAGCUCUGAUGAAAUCUCUCUGAAUUGCAUGGUACAGAGUGUGAAUGAUAUAUUUCGAAAUUUCUCAUCUAUUCAGCCUGAUCAGAUUGUGGAAUUAAGAAUAACAUGUGAUAGAAAUAAGGAAAAUAAUAAUCCUAAAUCCUCUUUGCAUUUUAAUGGUGAAAUUGAUAACUUAGUGAAUAAUACUUUCGGAUUGUUGAAAAAUUUACGAGAACUUGCAAUCGAAGACUGCAAUAUGCAGACUAUUCCUCCUAUGGCUUUCAAUGGUGUUUCUCAACUAACGAAUUUGACAGUCAGAUCAAGGAAUGUCCAGAAUGGAGAUUAUUCUCUUAAGCUUUCAGCAGAAACCUUUUCUCAGUUGCAGUUACUGGAAAGAUUAGAUCUAAGUGAAAACAACGUAGAUGCUUUACCCCAGACACUUUUAUGUCCACUUCGACGAUUAGUAACUUUGAAUUUGACUCUGAAUAACUUUUCUGACAUAUCUAGCGUAGGUCUAUCAACAGGAAACCGUGAUAAUGUGUUGUGUUUAGUGGAUGUGCAGCAUGUUCGCUUAUCACACAAUAGAAUAAAGGUGCUAAUAAACAAGGGCUUCGCAGCUGUCAAUCAACUUCGAGAGCUGCGCUUAGAUCAUAACUCUAUUUCAAGAGCAGAAGAAUCCGCAUUACAUGGUUUGGAUAAACUUAGAAUUCUAGAUUUAUCUAGCAAUCAAAUAGUUGCUCUGCCACCCCUUGUACUUAGGCCAUGUGAGGAACUAAAUGAAUUAUACCUUCAAAACAAUUCUAUAAGUGUUUUACCUCCUGGUUUAUUUACAGGAUUGCAACAACUUCUUGUUCUUGAUCUUAGCCAUAAUGAGAUCACUAGCCAUUGGCUCGGAUCCGAUACUUUUGCAGAUCUGAUACGCCUUGUCACAAUGGAUCUCAGUUUUAACCGUCUCACUCAAAUUGAUUCCAGUAUAUUUCGAAGUCAGUACAGCCUCCAAGUCUUACAUUUGGACCACAACGAGAUAGAAGUGAUAUCAGAUCAUGCUUUUUAUUCCCUUUAUAAGCUACAUACGUUGUUGCUGAAUAAUAAUAGAUUAACGCAAGUCACACCUACCACUUUCAGCGGUUUAUAUGUCCUUAACAUGCUGUCAUUAAGUCAUAACGAUAUUAACUAUGUCCACCCAGAUGCCUUUCGAAACAAUAGUGCCAUGAUGGAGAUAAAUUUGGCGGGGAACAGACUCUCUUCAGUACCGUCUGCCGUCCAGUCAUUGCAGCUUCUUCGUAGUUUGGAUUUAUCCGAUAAUCAAAUUUCGGAUAUUCAUAAUGCCAGUUAUCUAGGCCUAGAAAAUUUAUAUAGUUUAGUUCUUAGUGGUAAUAAGAUAGGGAAUUUAACAAAAGGUGUUUUUGAAGAUUUACCAUCUCUCCGAAUUUUGAGUUUGGCCAAUAAUGAAAUUCAUUCUGUAGAACAGAGCACUUUUGAUGAUAUAUUAUAUCUUCAUGCACUGAGAUUAGAUUCUAACUUUCUCCCUGAUGUGAAUGGUUUGUUUAGCAAUUUGCACGAUUUACUGAUGUUAAACAUAUCAGCAAAUCGAAUUGAAUGGUUCGAUUAUGCGUUAGUGCCCGCUGGAUUGCAGUGGCUUGAUUUACACGACAAUCAAAUAGAAUUGCUUGGCAACUAUUUUGAAAUGGAAGCUAUUCUUAAACUGAGGACAUUAGAUGCUUCAUUUAAUCAUAUAACUGAAAUAGACUCUUCAUCAUUGCCAAACGGAAUCGAAAUAGUUUUUUUAAAUGACAACCGCAUAAAAGUUAUCCAUCCUUUUACAUUCAUGGGUAAACCAAACCUUACACGAAUGGAUUUGACACGAAAUCAGCUAGAAAAUUUGGAUGUAAAUGCUUUUAGGUUAACAGAAGUUCGAAACCGUAAGCCACUCCCUGAAUUUUCGAUUUCUGAAAAUCCUUAUCUGUGUGACUGCAAUAUGGAAUGGAUACAACGCAUUGGUUCGCAUGAUGAAUCCCGACAGUAUCCGAGGAUGGUAGACAUAGAAGAUAUUGCCUGCCAGUUAUCAUUUAAUCGCCAAAGAACAGCUGUGUCAAUCGUGCAUGCACAUUCCUCUCAGUUCCUCUGUCGUUAUAAAAGUCACUGCUUUGCUUUGUGCCACUGCUGCGAGUUUGAUGCUUGUGACUGUGAAAUGGUGUGUCCUGAGAAUUGUACGUGUUUCUACGAUCAGAGCUGGAAUACUAAUAUAGUAGACUGUAGUUCUCAGAAUCACAUUUCUGUGCCCCGUCGCAUACCAAUGGAUGUAACAGAACUAUAUUUGGAUGGAAAUGAUAUUCCAUCAUUAUCAAGCCACACGUUUAUUGGCAGGAAAAACAUGCGCGUUUUAUUCAUGAAUAAUAGCAAUGUGCAUGUGAUAAACAAUAGAACAUUCAAUGGUCUCAAGUCAUUACAGACAUUGUAUUUGCAACAUAAUCUCAUCGCCAUGCUGCACGGCUAUGAAUUUGAGCGUCUCGUGAACUUACGGCAAUUGUACUUGUCAUAUAAUAGAAUCACGGUUGUUGGCAACACAACUUUCACACAGUUACGAUCACUGGAAGUAUUGCAUUUAGAUCAUAAUUACAUUACAGAAUUCCAGGUGUGGAAUUUAAACCAAAACUUAAAACUAGUCGAUAUACAGCUGUCUCAUAACCCAUGGGCUUGUGAAUGCCAGUUUGUUGGAGAUUUCACACAUUGGCUGCAGUCACGAAGUGAUUUAGUACACGAUGUGUACAGCGUGCAUUGUGUGUACAAUGAUACAGUCACACUGCCUUUGGUUGAAUUCAACAUGACGUCAUGUACUAAUUUCACCGCUUCUUCACCUGGUUAUAUUCAAUCAUUCCGAGUAAACGAUAUUAUGCCAGUGUUGAUUUUAGUCGGUUUUCUUUUUGUGAUUUUGCUUUUAGCAAUAAUACUUACUUUCGUAUAUCGAAAGCGGAUGAGCGUGUGGUUUUUCUCCAAGUAUGGUGUACGUAUUUUCAGCUCGGAAGGAAGAGCCUCCAAUGAUGACGAGAAACUUUUCGAUGCCUUCGUGUCCUAUAGUAAGAAAGACGAAGCCUUCGUAGGGCAGGUCCUUGCUGCAGAGCUAGAAUGUGGGAAUCCCCAUUUCCGACUGUGCCUUCAUUAUAGGGACCUUCCUAUUGGCGGGUAUUUAUCUGAUGCCAUCAUUGAGGCCAUGGAGAGUUCCCGGAGAACUAUUGUCAUCCUAUCGGAGAACUUCAUCCGCAGUGAGUGGUGCCGCUAUGAAUUCAAAUCAGCACAUCACGAAGUACUUAGAACUUAUAAACACAAACUUAUUGUGAUCCUUAUUGGGCGACUGGCCCAGCGUGAUUUAGACCCAGAACUGAGACUGUGGUUGAAGACUAGCACUUUUCUAAGGUGGGGUGACAAAAGGUUUUGGGAAAAGCUACGAUAUGCUCUUCCUGACAUUAGAAAGAGAAAAUCGGAGCGAUGUCACUCCAGUGAUCAUUCUGUUGCUGUUCAUAUAUGAAAGUGAUGUAAAUAUGUUAUCUAUUGUGAUCGGAACCGUUAUACAUGAAAUGAUUUUCGCAAGCAUAUUUGAAAUGUGCUGUCACAGUAGUUCAAGCAGUGAAAGCUGUAAAAUUUUCAUACUACGCGUAAGUCAAAGCUUUUUGUUCCAAUGUUUCCUUUCACAUGUUUGCAGCGGAUUUGUUGAAUUACUACACAUUCAAUUUUGCUGGCUGCGUAGGAAAGAAUCCAGGAAUAAACCAUCAUGUUUAGCAUCAAGGACCGUAAACAUCUUUAGAUUUGAAAGGCUGUGAUUUUGGAUAUGGUGCUUCCUGAGCGAUAAGCAGUCAGCUUUAGCGAGAAAGACCGUCCACAUUUCUAGAUCCUCUACUUUUUGUUUAUGGAGCUUACUGAAAUCAUAGAACACGGAAAUCGCUCAAUGUCAUUGCAAUUUUAAAAGAUGCUAUACGGCGGCACGUUUUAGUAACCUUAAAGGAUUGCUGUUUCUGCUUGCUGUAUACUCGCUCUAGAGAAAAGCUCAGCAAUGAUGGCUGUUGCGUGCAGCAUUUGUUAUGGUGUAUUUUGUGCAAUUUAUGAAUAAAGUAUAGCCUGGCGAACAUGACUGUUAUUACAAAUUACCUUAAUAAAGCUUCUUAAAAUAAA